UAAAACUACAUCGCUUUCAUUCU
rnacentral:siRNA from 1 species